UGGGGAAUUUUGGACAAUGGGCGCAAGCCUGACCCAGCAACGCCGCGUGAAGGAUGAAGUCUCUCGGGAUGUAAACUUCGUAAGAAUAGGAAGAAUAAAUGACGGUACUAUUUGUAAGGUCCGGCUAACUACGUGCCAGCAGCCGCGGUAAUACGUAGGGACCAAGCGUUGUUCGGAUUUACUGGGCGUAAAGGGCGCGUAGGCGGCGUGGUAAGUCACUUGUGAAAUCUCCGAGCUUAACUCGGAACGGUCAAGUGAUACUGCUGUGCUAGAGUACAGAAGGGGCAAUCGGAAUUCUUGGUGUAGCGGUGAAAUGCGUAGAUAUCAAGAGGAACACCUGAGGUGAAGACGGGUUGCUGGGCUGAUACUGACGCUGAGGCGCGAAAGCCAGGGGAGCAAACGGGAUUAGAUACCCCCGUAGUCCCUGAGCGGGCUGGCAAGGCGCAU
rnacentral:rRNA from 1 species